AUGUCUCCUCAUUGUCUAUUGGUAAAAAGUGUUUUUCUCUAUGAAGAAGGCAAUGCAGUGUGUGUGUGUUGGGUGUACACAUGAUGGUCUGUGGCCCAGGAGAAGAUAUUGAAUGGGUAUGGCAGUGCUGUUGUAGUGGGUAACCUCAGCAGCCUCUCUGGUCCUUCAUGUAAUGAUGUACAUAGGAGUCCUUGGGAUUUCUCUGUGUGAGGGACUCUCAUAGCAGCGUGCUCAGGCUGCACAGCUCACAUCCAGGUACUUGAAAUACUAAGGAGAAGUCUGGGAGGAAGGGACAGGAUGGCACUGUGGAGGUCCUACAUAGCACACACUCUACAUGUCAGCGGUCAUCGGUGCAGCCAUGGAAGGAUUUAUUUCUCUUCUAUAUCUUCUAUAUGACACAUUUACACAACUCAUCUCCCCAGCAAUUCACCUCCAUAUAUUUAUAGUGUGUGCUGCUCACCCUAUAUAGAAACACAUUGUACUGAUCUUUGUGCUGAGCUACAUACAUAGGCUUUAAUUUCCGACAAUAACCUGGAUAGAACAGCCUGCGCCUUCCCCCAAUCGCCUUUGAACUUGCGUACCCGAUUACUUGUUUUUAACUAAAUGGAAUAAUAAACUUAAUGAUUUGAAUUCAUGUUAAUUCAUACCAAUAAGGACAAACAGAUAAAACAAGGAUUUUUCUACCCAGAGAAAAUGACAUUGCAUCAUAAUAACACUUUGUUCUAUGAAAGCGGAAAGUUGUCUCCACAAUAGAGAAGGCUGAAUUGUGCCCCUAGUACUGCUGGAGCCUGGAUGUCUGGCUGCUGAUUGGCCCUUCCCAAGCAUCAUAGGAUAUUGGGGAUCCCACCGGUAAUACACUGCCUGUCCUAGGGUGACACCAUACACACAAGAGAUGCAACCAAGAGCUGUUUUGCAAUAAUUCCACGAUUUGAUCUACAACAGCCCCUAGAGGCAGAAUCUACAAUUGGACUUAGUUUGCGAUAGGACAGAAAGGACAGGUGAUCGUAUUGGACGCCAAGGGGGAGGAGGGAAGAGCCACAUGAUGGAAGCCGCCAAAGCCAAGGAGGAGAGGACGCAAGAGCCACUUCCCGCAACACGCCCGCUGCCGCCGAAGCUGAGGAGAGGAGGACACAGGAGCUGCUGCUGCAACCCGCCAGCUACCCGUAGGAGCUCUAAAUCCAGCCGCCACCUAG